rnacentral:rRNA from 1 species
AGAGUUUGAUCCUGGCUCAGGAUGAACGCUGGCGGCGUGCCUAAUACAUGCAAGUCGAACGCUUCACUUCGGUGAAGAGUGGCGAACGGGUGAGUAAUACAUAAGUAACCUGGCCUUUACAGGGGGAUAACUAUUGGAAACGAUAGCUAAGACCGCAUAGGUGUGGAGAUCGCAUGAACUGCACAUGAAAUAUGCUACGGCAUAGGUAGAGGAUGGACUUAUGGCGCAUUAGCUAGUUGGAGGGGUAACGGCCCACCAAGGCGACGAUGCGUAGCCGACCUGAGAGGGUGACCGGCCACACUGGGACUGAGACACGGCCCAGACUCCUACGGGAGGCAGCAGUAGGGAAUUUUCGGCAAUGGGGGAAACCCUGACCGAGCAACGCCGCGUGAAGGAAGAAGUAAUUCGUUAUGUAAACUUCUGUCAUAGAGGAAGAACGAUGGAUAUAGGGAAUGAUAUCCAAGUGACGGUACUCUAUAAGAAAGCCACGGCUAACUACGUGCCAGCAGCCGCGGUAAUACGUAGGUGGCGAGCGUUAUCCGGAAUUAUUGGGCGUAAAGAGGGAGCAGGCGGCACUAAGGGUCUGUGGUGAAAGAACGAAGCUUAACUUCGGUAAGCCAUGGAAACCGUAGAGCUAGAGUGUGUGAGAGGAUCGUGGAAUUCCAUGUGUAGCGGUGAAAUGCGUAGAUAUAUGGAGGAACACCAGUGGCGAAGGCGACGAUCUGGCGCAUAACUGACGCUCAGUCCCGAAAGCGUGGGGAGCAAAUAGGAUUAGAUACCCUAGUAGUCCACGCCGUAAACGAUGAGUACUAAGUGUUGGGGGUCAAACCUCAGUGCUGCAGUUAACGCAAUAAGUACUCCGCCUGAGUAGUACGUUCGCAAGAAUGAAACUCAAAGGAAUUGACGGGGGCCCGCACAAGCGGUGGAGCAUGUGGUUUAAUUCGAAGCAACGCGAAGAACCUUA